AGUUCGAUCCCGUCUAGAUUGAAUCACAGUGGAGGUUUUACACAUGCAAGUCGAACGGGCAGCACGGACUUCGGUCUGGUGGCGAGUGGCGAACGGGUGAGUAAUGUAUCGAACGUGCCUAGUAGCGGGGAUAACUACGCGAAAGCGUAGCUAAUACCGCAUACGCCCUUCGGGGGAAAGCGGGGACCUUCGGGCCUCGCACUAUUAGAGCGGCCGAUAUCGGAUUAGCUAGUUGGUGGGGUAACGGCUCACCAAGGCGACGAUCCGUAGCUGGUUUGAGAGGAUGACCAGCCACACUGGGACUGAGACACGGCCCAGACUCCUACGGAGGCAGCGGCGGGGAAUUUUGACAAUGGGGAAACCUGAUCCAGCCAUCCCGCGUGCGAUGAAGGCUCGCUGUAAAGCACUUUGGCAGGAAGAAACGGCACGGGAUAUCACCCCGUGCAACUGACGGUACCUGCAGAAUAAGCACCGGCUAACUACGUGCCAGCAGCCGCGGUAAUACGUAGGGUGCAAGCGUUAAUCGGUCCACUACGUAAGCGUGCGCAGGCGGUCUGGAAAGAAAGAUGUGAACCCCAGUAGAGCUUAACUUUUGGAACUGCAUUUUUAACUACCGAGCUAGAGUGUGUCAGAGGAGGUGGAAUUCCGCGUGUAGCAGUGAAUGCGUAGAUAUGCGGAGGAACACCGACGGCGAAGGCAGCCUCUGGGAUAACACUGACGUUCAUGCACGAAAGCGUGGGAGCAAACAGGAUUAGAUACUCCUGGUAGUCCACGCCCUAAACGAUGUCACCAGCUGUUGGGGGCCUUCUCGGGCCUGGUAGCGCAGCUAACGCAGAAGUUGACCGCCUGGGGAGUACGGUCGCAAGAUUAAAACUCAAAGGAAUUGACGGGGACUCCGCACAAGCGGUGGAUGAUGUGGAUUACCUGAUGCACCGCGAAAAAACCUGCUCUACCCUUUGACAUGUCUGAAUCCUUAGUAUUUGGGAUGCUCGCAAGAGAACCGGAACACAGGUGCUGGGCGUAAGUUGUCGUCAGCUCGUGUCAGAGAUGUUGGGUUAAGUCCCGCAACGAGCGCGCAACCCUUGUCAUUAGUUGCUACGAAAGGGCAAUCGGCUAGACUGCCGGUGACAAACCGGAGGAAGGUGGGGGGAUGAUGUCAAGUCCUCAUACCCUUAUGGGUAGGGCUUCACACGUCAUACAAUGGUCGGGGACAGAGGGUCGCCAACCUGGCGAGGGGGAGCCAAUCCCAGAACCCGAUCGUAGUCCGGAUCGCAGUCUGCAACUCGACUGCGUGAAGUCGGAAUCGCUAGUAAUCGCGGAUCAGCAUGUCGCGGUGAAUACGUUCCCGGGUCUUGUACACACCGCCCGUCACACCAUGGGGAGUGGGUUUUACCAGAAGUAGUUAAAUUAACCGUAUGAGGGCGGUUACCACGGUAGGAUUCAUGACUGGGGUGAAGUCGUAACAAGGUAG
rnacentral:rRNA from 1 species